rnacentral:rRNA from 1 species
AGCGAACGCUGGCGGCAGGCUUAACACAUGCAAGUCGAGCGGGCACUUCGGUGUCAGCGGCGGACGGGUGAGUAACGCGUGGGAACGUGCCUUCUGGUUCGGAAUAACUCAGGGAAACUUGAGCUAAUACCGGAUACGCCCAUUUGGGGAAAGGUUUACUGCCGGAAGAUCGGCCCGCGUCUGAUUAGCUAGUUGGUGGGGUAACGGCCUACCAAGGCGACGAUCAGUAGCUGGUCUGAGAGGAUGAUCAGCCACACUGGGACUGAGACACGGCCCAGACUCCUACGGGAGGCAGCAGUGGGGAAUAUUGGACAAUGGGCGCAAGCCUGAUCCAGCCAUGCCGCGUGAGUGAUGAAGGCCUUAGGGUUGUAAAGCUCUUUUAUCCGGGACGAUAAUGACGGUACCGGAGGAAUAAGCCCCGGCUAACUUCGUGCCAGCCGCCGCAGUAAGAC